AUAAGAGCGUGGAUGAGGAGUAGUAGGAAGUUUUCAUCCCCAGGAGAGAAGGGCUGCUGUGGUGUGAGGCCCGGGGAACAUCUUCCGAACUCGCCUCGGAGCUUCCGCUGCGAACAGGAGUGUCUCCUCAGUAGAAGCGGACGGGUUGGCCCGUGACAGCUUUCAAGAGGGAUGAAGGAGAUACAGCCUUCAUCUGAAGCAGGGUGGUACCGCGGGAAAAACUCGCCCCUGGG
rnacentral:ncRNA from 1 species